CCUACGGGGGGCAGCAGUGAGGAAUAUUGGUCAAUGGCCGGAAGGCUGAACCAGCCAAGCCGCGUGAAGGACGAAGGUGCCAAGCAUCGUAAACCUCUUUUGUCAAGGAACAAAAUCAGGCACGAGAGCCUGACCGAGGGUACCUGAAGAAAAAGCAUCGGCUAACUCCGUGCCAGCAGCCGCGGUAAUACGGAGGAUGCGAGCGUUAUCCGGAUUUAUUGGGUUUAAAGGGUGCGUAGGCGGGCUGUUAAGUCAGCGGUAAAAGCCCGGGGCUCAACCCCGGCGAGCCGUUGAAACUGGCGGGCUUGAGAUGUAGAGAGGUAUGCGGAAUGCGCAGUGUAGCGGUGAAAUGCUUAGAUAUUGCGCAGAACUCCGAUUGCGAAGGCAGCAUACCGGCGGCGAUCUGACGCUGAGGCACGAAAGCGUGGGUAUCGAACAGGAUUAGAUACCCGGGUAGUC
rnacentral:rRNA from 1 species